CUUCUGCUGCCUCAGUUAUGCACUGGAAUGCAAUCCAGAGAAAUCAGAACUACAGUCACCAGCUCUGAAGACAAAUAGGAACAGCAGCACAGAUCACAGCUGAAAUGGAAGAAUCAGUUUAGCAGUCCAAAGGCAACUAGUGCAAGAAUUCUUCUACAAGCUCCUUGCCACAGGCACCUCCAUACCUCCUUUAGAUGAAACACAAUGCAGAAGUGCCAAAACAUCACAGAAGAUUAGAUAUGAGCUAAAGAAAAAAUAAAGAGAAUGAGAAUAUAGACAAUAUAGAAAAUGGGUACACAAUAUCCAAGAACAUUCUGAAUUGGCCUGAGAUUGUCACAAGCAUCAUAAAGAUGAUGCAGAAAAACUAUACCUUCACUGCAGCACUGAACAAUUCUUCCUCCAAAUCUGAAGAGCAGAAGAAAAUUAAGUUGAAUUGUUCUAUUAAACCUGAAGUGUUACUGUAUGGCACAUAGUAAAAGUAAUGUAGGGAGGAGACAGAAAAGUGAAGACAAGAGGAAGAUGCACAGCCCCACCUUCCAUCAUUGAAAGCACAAUACUAAGCUUCACUUGAUGAGAGCCGAGAACUUAAAAGACACUUCAAAGCCUUACAUGAAAACCCUACAGAAAGUAAUAAAAAUAAAAAAAAAGAAAAAAAAUCCUUG